rnacentral:sRNA from 1 species
CUCCCCGAAAUGUGUUGAGGCACAGCGGUCGAGAUGAAGUUUAGGGGUAAAGCACUGUUUCGGUGCGGGCUGCGAGAGCGGUACCGAAGUCAGCCAAACUCCGAAUGCCGGUACUCCACAGCACGGCAGUGAGACCAUGGGGGAUAAGCUUCAUGGUCGAGAGGGAAACAGCCCAGAACGCCAGCUAAGGCCCCAAAUUCUGUGCUCAGUGGCAAAGGAUGUGGGAUUGCCCAGACAGCCAGGAGGUUGGCUUAGAAGCAGCCAUCCUUGAAAGAGUGCGUAACAGCUCACUGGUCGAGUGAUCCUGCGGUCGACGCGGCCG